CCUACGAGAGGCAGCAGUGAGGAAUAUUGGUCAAUGGGCGGGAGCCUGAACCAGCCAAGUCGCGUGAGGGAAGACGGUCCUAUGGAUUGUAAACCUCUUUAGGCGGGGAGCAAUGCCGGGCACGUGUGCCCGGAGGGAGAGUACCCGCAGAAAAAGCAUCGGCUAACUCCGUGCCAGCAGCCGCGGUAAUACGGAGGAUGCGAGCGUUAUCCGGAUUUAUUGGGUUUAAAGGGUGCGUAGAUGGCAUAGUAAGUCUUUUGUAAAAAUGCUGGGCUCAACCCAGUAGGGCAAAAGAUACUGCAAAGCUUGAGUAUGACAGAGGCAAGUGGAACUACAGGUGUAGCGGUAAAAUGCAUAAAUAUAUGUAAGAACACCAGUGGCGAAGGCGGCUUGAUGGGUCGAUACUGACAUUGAGGCACGAAAGCGUGGGGAGCGAACAGGAUUAGAUACCCCAGUAGUC
rnacentral:rRNA from 1 species